rnacentral:tRNA from 1 species
UCUAAUAUGGCAGAAUAGUGCCUUAGAUUUAAGCUCUAAAUAUAAAGAAUCCUUUUAUUAGAA